rnacentral:rRNA from 2 species
UAUGUGGCGAACGGGUGAGUAAUACGUGAGUAACCUACCUUUAACUCUGGGAUAAGCCUGGGAAACUGGGUCUAAUACCGGAUACGACCAAUCUCCGCAUGGGGUGUUGGUGGAAAGCGUUAUGUAGUGGUUAUAGAUGGGCUCACGGCCUAUCAGCUUGUUGGUGAGGUAACGGCUCACCAAGGCGACGACGGGUAGCCGGCCUGAGAGGGUGACCGGCCACACUGGGACUGAGACACGGCCCAGACUCCUACGGGAGGCAGCAGUGGGGAAUAUUGCACAAUGGGCGCAAGCCUGAUGCAGCGACGCCGCGUGAGGGAUGACGGCCUUCGGGUUGUAAACCUCUGUUAGCAGGGAAGAAGAGAGAUUGACGGUACCUGCAGAGAAAGCGCCGGCUAACUACGUGCCAGCAGCCGCGGUAAUACGUAGGGCGCGAGCGUUGUCCGGAAUUAUUGGGCGUAAAGAGCUUGUAGGCGGUUUGUCGCGUCUGCUGUGAAAGGCCGGAGCUUAACUCCGUGUAUUGCAGUGGGUACGGGCAGACUAGAGUGCAGUAGGGGAGACUGGAAUUCCUGGUGUAGCGGUGGAAUGCGCAGAUAUCAGGAGGAACACCGAUGGCGAAGGCAGGUCUCUGGGCUGUAACUGACGCUGAG